rnacentral:rRNA from 1 species
GUGAGGAAUAUUGGUCAAUGGGCGGGAGCCUGAACCAGCCAAGUCGCGUGAAGGAAGAAGGAACUAUGGUUCGUAAACUUCUUUUGCAGGGGAAUAAAGUGCAGGACGUGUCCUGUUUUGUAUGUACCCUGAGAAUAAGGAUCGGCUAACUCCGUGCCAGCAGCCGCGGUAAUACGGAGGAUCCGAGCGUGAUCAGGAUUUAUGGGGUUUAAAGGGUGCGUAGGUGGUGUGAUAAGUCAGCGGUGAAAGUUUGCAGCUUAACUGUAAAAAUGCCGUUGAAACUGUCGGACUUGAGUGUAAAUGAGGUAGGCGGAAUGUGUGGUGUAGCGGUGAAAUGCAUAGAUAUCACGCAGAACUCCGAUUGCGAAGGCAGCUUACUAAGCUACAACUGACACUGAAGCACGAAAGCGUGGGGAUCAAACAGGAUUAGAUACCCUGGUAGUCC